rnacentral:rRNA from 1 species
CCUACGGGUGGCAGCAGUGGGGAAUAUUGGACAAUGGGCGAAAGCCUGAUCCAGCCAUGCCGCGUGUGUGAAGAAGGCCUUCGGGUUGUAAAGCACUUUCAGUGGGGAAGAAAGCCUUGGGGCUAAUACCCUCGAGGAAGGACAUCACCCACAGAAGAAGCACCGGCUAACUCCGUGCCAGCAGCCGCGGUAAUACGGAGGGUGCGAGCGUUAAUCGGAAUUACUGGGCGUAAAGCGCGCGUAGGCGGUCUGAUAAGCCGGUUGUGAAAGCCCCGGGCUCAACCUGGGAACGGCAUCCGGAACUGUCAGGCUAGAGUGCAGGAGAGGAAGGUAGAAUUCCCGGUGUAGCGGUGAAAUGCGUAGAGAUCGGGAGGAAUACCAGUGGCGAAGGCGGCCUUCUGGACUGACACUGACGCUGAGGUGCGAAAGCGUGGGUAGCAAACAGGAUUAGAGACCCCUGUAGUC